UCAAAGUUUUCCACAUUUUACAGGAAAAGUGAUUAAUUUGCAUUAAAAAGAUUUAUUUGUUGAAAUCAUAUUUCUUUGAAUCCACAGUUUUAUUUACUUUUUUGAUCGAUAGGGUAUUAAAGUGCAUUUUAAAAUCUUAUCAAUAUUACAAAUAAAAUCAUUAAUAACUAUAUAAAGACAGAUCUGGAUCGUAAAUUAUUAUUUCCAAUAAAUAUGUUCAACAAAGUUUUAAUACUAAGCUUCCUGUUGGUCUGUGCCUUUUGGCAAACACACGGUGAUGUUGUGUGUCCAGAGACAAAUGAUACAGAAAUAUCAAUUUACCUUCCUGACCCAGAAGACUGUGGCAGCUUCUAUGAGUGUUCAAAUACUGUUCCAAUAAAAGUAACUUGUCCGGGAAGGACCUACUAUAAUAUCGAAAAGAAAGUCUGUGAUUUCUUAAGAAAUGUCGAUUGUGGAGAUAGGCCCAUCAAAAAUAAAAAUAAGUAAAGAUAAAUUGUUUAAUAAAUAGUAUUCUAAUAAAA